CCUACGGGUGGCAGCAGUGGGGGAUAUUGCACAAUGGGGGGAACCCUGAUGCAGCGACGCCGCGUGGGUGAAGGAGUGCUUCGGCAUGUAAAGCCCUAUCGGCAGGGAAGAAGCAAGACGGUACCUGACUAAGAAGCCCCGGCUAACUACGUGCCAGCAGCCGCGGUAAUACGUAGGGGGCGAGCGUUAUCCGGAUUCACUGGGUGUAAAGGGAGCGUAGACGGCCAUGCAAGCCAGGGGUGAAAGCCCGGGGCCAAACCCCGGGACUGCCCUUGGAACUGUGCGGCUAGAGUGCGGGAGGGGAGGGCGGAAUUCCUGGUGUAGCGGUGAAAUGCGUAGAUAUAAGGAGGAACACCGGCGGCGAAGGCGGCCUGCUGGACCGCGACUGACGUUGAGGCUCGAAAGCGUGGGGAGCGAACAGGAUUAGAUACCCCAGUAGUC
rnacentral:rRNA from 1 species